GGUCCGUUCGGCUAGCCAGGUCAGGCCCCCAGGUUUUCAUCCUGGUAACACGGGUUCGAAUCCCGUACGGACUA
rnacentral:tRNA from 1 species